rnacentral:rRNA from 1 species
GAUAAACGCUGGCGGCGUGCAUGAGACAUGCAAGUCGAACGGACGAUCAGGGCUUGCUCUGAUCGUUAGUGGCGGACGGCUGAGUAACGCGUAGGUGACCUGCCCCGAAGUGGGGAAUAACUGCCCGAAAGGGUGGCUAAUACCGCAUGUGGUGGUGCCUUCAUAGGCACCAGUAAAGCCGCAAGGCGCUUCGGGAGGGGCCUGCGUCCGAUUAGCUCGUUGGUGGGGAACGGCUCACCAAGGCGACGAUCGGUAGGUGGUCUGAGAGGACGAUCACCCAGACUGGGACUGAGACACGGCCCAGACUCCUACGGGAGGCAGCAGUCGGGAAUUUUGCGCAAUGGACGAAAGUCUGACGCAGCAACGCCGCGUGAGGGAUGACGGCCUGGUUGUAA